UGGUUAGUACAAUAAAUGAUUUCUAGGACAGAAUACUAAGAAUUAUAAUAAUUAUACUCUGUCAAUGGUUAGUACAAUAAAUGAUUUCUAGGACGGAAUACAGUGGUAGACCUGUAAGUAUGACUAAUCAUAUCAACAAACAGAGGAAACUGUAACAAAGCAAACACAGUUACAGGAAUACCUGCAACUAAAGCCAUUGGAAUAGCAAUCCAUACCAAUCCAUGGCCAAGGACAAUAAAAAGCGCGCCGCAAAAAGCUACCAUCAUGGUGCCAAUUGAGAUAAACAACGUUGCAAGUCCUAUUAUUAACCUCUUAGGCAAUAAGUCGAGAAAAUCUUCUUCAACAUAACGCGAGGUAAGAAUAGACAGGAACAUGAGAAUUGAAGUGGCUGAUGAGAAUAAUGCCAGUGCAUCUGAAAUGGCAAAAACUAUGAAGGACCUUUCUGAUAUAAAAAAAGGUGUUCCC
rnacentral:lncRNA from 1 species